CUGUGACUUCAAGGCCAACCUGAUCUACACGGUAUGCACUAUCACUGAGCCUCUCCCCAGCCCACCUUGGAGUUUUCUGCAGACUGGUUUUCCAGAUGACUGUGUCCUUCACAAAACAUUAAGGAAACAGGACAAUGGAGCCACCAUCUUCCUCCUACCCUGCUUCUUCUUCUCUGCCACCAUGGACAGAGUGGUCACAGGGAGAAGGGCCAUGAAGAAGUCUUUCCUACUCAGUGUUAUUAGUGCUGUGAUUAAACAU